rnacentral:rRNA from 1 species
UCCGGUUGAUCCUGCCGGACCCUACUGCUAUCGGGGUGGGACUAAGACAUGCAAGUCGUGCGUCUCUAAGCCAUGGUAGAGACGCGGCGUACGGCUCAGUAACACGUGGCUAACCUACCCUUAGGACGGAGGCAACCCCGGGAAACUGGGGCUAAUACCCGAUAGGUGAGGAGGCCUGGAAUGGUUCUUCGCUGAAAAGGCGUUGGAACCAUGCUUUUCAACGUCGCCUAAGGAUGGGGCCGCGCCCGAUCAGGUUGUUGGUGGGGUAACGGCUCACCAAGCCUAUAACCGGUACGGGCCGUGAGAGCGGGAGCCCGGAGAUGGGCACUGAGACAAGGGCCCAGGCCCUACGGGGCGCAGCAGUCGCGAAAACUCCGCAAUGCGCGAAAGCGUGACGGGGCUACCCCGAGUGCCGUCCGCUGAGGAUGGCUUUUCCCCGGUGUAAUGAGCCGGGGGAAUAAGGAGAGGGCAAGUCUGGUGUCAGCCGCCGCGGUAAUACCAGCUCUCCGAGUAGUAGGGAUGAUUAUUGGGCUUAAAGCGUCCGUAGCCGGCUUAGCAAGUCUCCUGUUAAAUUCAGCGACCUAAUCGUUGAGCCGCGGGAGAUACUACUAGGCUAGGAGGCGGGAGAGGCCGACGGUAUUCCCGGGGUAGGGGUGAAAUCCUAUAAUCCCGGGAGGACCACCAGUGGCGAAGGCUGUCGGCUAGAACGCGCUCGACGGUGAGGGACGAAAGCUGGGGGAGCGAACCGGAUUAGAUACCCGGGUAGUCCCAGCUGUAAACGAUGCGGGCUAGGUGUUGAGGUGGCUACGAGCCACUUCAGUGCCGCAGGGAAGCCAUUAAGCCCGCCGCCUGGGGAGUACGGCCGCAAGGCUGAAACUUAAAGGAAUUGGCGGGGGAGCACCACAAGGCGUGAAGCUUGCGGUUCAAUUGGAGUCAACGCCGGG